GACGAACGCUGGCGGCGUGCUUAACACAUGCAAGUCGAACGGAAAGGCCCUGCUUUUGUGGGGUGCUCGAGUGGCGAACGGGUGCGUAACACGUGAGUAACCUGCCCUUGACUUUGGGAUAACUUUAGGAAACUGGGGCUAAUAUCGGAUAGGAGCUCCUGCUGCAUGGAGGGGGUUGGAAAGUUUCGGCGGGUGGGGAUGGACUCGCGGCUUAUCAGCUUGUUGGUGGGGGAGUGGCUUACCAAGGCUUUGACGGGUAGCCGGCCUGUGAGGGUGACCGGCCACAUGGGGACUGAGAUACGGCCCAGACUGCUACGGGAGGCAGCAGUGGGGAAUAUUGCACAAUGGGCGGAAGCCUGAUGCAGCAACGCCGCGUGCGGGAUGACGGCCUUCGGGUUGUAAACCGCUUUCGCCUGUGACGAAGCGUGAGUGACGGUAAUGGGUAAAGAAGCACCGGCUAACUACGUG
rnacentral:rRNA from 1 species